rnacentral:tRNA from 1 species
GGGCGAUUAGCUCAGUUGGUUAGAGCACUAGCUCGACAAGCUAGGGGUCGAAGAUUCGAGUUCUUCAUCGCCCA